rnacentral:lncRNA from 1 species
AACUUCUUAACUCUACAGGGUUUUAUGUUUGACGUGUUUCAUCUAGAACAUGGGACAUGAUCAAAAGUUCAACAAAAAAAAACAUGGGACAUGAUCUGCAUAUUGGUUAGAGCAACAUAUUAUUGGUUGGUAUCUCAAAACAAGUAUCUCAACAAGUUAAUAUUAUUUUUACCAAAAAAAAAAAAAAAACAAGUUUAUAUUACUAUAUAAAUACAAUUCCGACAAUAAAUGGACAUAUGACAUUAGGAGUUCUGAUGAAUUUCUGGUGAACUCUCAUUUGAGAACUUCAUUACACUCUCUUUCUUAUUUUUUAAUUAAUUUUUUAUUUAUUUUAAAGAUGAGAUACUUUCCUACAUACUCCACGGAAGAUGUACUUGUACCAUUUUAUGUUAUUAUUAAUUAAUAAUACAAUAUGUGAUUAUAUAUUCCAAAUAUCAUAGAUUCUCAAACAAAAUAUGAUGAUGUUGUGAUAUUUUGGAAACUGUACAUAAUUGUCAGAAUUAUUGAUAACAAUAGUGAUUUUAUAAUUUAGAGGUCAUAUCACUUAUAUAUAUUACCUAUUAAAAUUUUUGAAGCAUAGUGUCAAUGUUUCAUUCUAUGUCCAAGC